GUGACUGGUCGACAUAUCUGGAGAGUGUCGGACUGAGUCGGAGUCAAUUCUGCACGAAUUGGAUGCAGAAUUGGACUCGACGCACUCAAAUAAGCAAAACUGGAGUUUUGCCAGAUUCGGGCGCCCAGAAUAUUUUUAGGGUCGCCCAGAAACGAGUGUUGAAUUUAACUGAAACUGGAAGCCAAUUCGGAUCCCAUGUUCCGGGCGCCCAGAUGUGGGUCCAGAAAUUCGACAUCGUGAAUAUCGCUUGCUUCGACGC
rnacentral:lncRNA from 1 species